UAACUCCACGCACCAGAUCACUCUCUUCAUCGUCAUCACACAUACAACUUCGUCUCUCAUCUCUUCUCUUCUCUACUCCUGGAGCUAGGAAGAGAAAAGGGGAGUGGGUUCUGAGUUGCGAGUCCUUGUGGAUUUUAGAGCGAGAGAGAGAGAAGGAAGUUUUCUGUUUGAGGGGAAUGUUGUCUGGCUCGAGGCCACCAACACAGACGAUUGAGAUCGACGAUGCAUAGAUCUCUCUGAGUGUAAGUGUCGUCGGACCAGGCUUCAUUCCCCUCAAUUAUUACUUCCAUCUACGCCGAUCAUCCUCUCCGUUAGGUUCUCAAUUAAUAGCUUGAUCGAAAGGUUGGAUCUGGUUUCCUCAGGUGGGUUCUUUAAGUUCUGCUAUCUUUUCUUCGUUCAUGGGGGUUACUAUAUUUCUAGGGAAAUUUAAGGUAGUUAUGAGGUAUGAGCAUGAGAAUAAUAUUGGUGUAAUGAUGAAAUGUUUUGACUGCUUUGCUUAACCUCCUUUUUCUGACUAUUGGGGAAAGGUUUUCAUCAUUGCUUCCUUUUUAUAAUUUUUGUCAGUCCAGAGAUUUCCAGACCCCAAACUCUUUUCUGGUUCAUCAUUGGGUGGCUUCUUCUUCAUGAUGGGUUUUGGGCAUCUGAUCUGUCCGUUUCUGCUAUUUUCAGAUCCGCCUCUGAAACUAUGGAUUUCUUUCAUUUUCUUCUUCAGAAACACAGCCCCUUUUUUUUUUUUUAUAUAAGCACAUCCUUUUCAGGAUUUCAGGUGGAGAUCCUGGCUUUUCCCUAAGCCACACAUACCUGAAAUAUCUUCCAUGCCAAAACAGGUUAGCCUUGGAGGGUAGCAAAUCUUUCGUUACCAUGCUUUACUUUUCUUUUGUUAAGCAAAAAAGAGUGCUCCAUGUAGUGAUCAUAGCCCUAGAACAAGUCCCGUAAGUAAGUGACCGAGCGAUGAUGGAUUGGAAGCAUUUUCACUACUAGCCUACCAAACCCAUUGGUAUUACCAUGCUUAAUUAUUGUCGUUAUUCUUUGUACAUCUGUUCUGAUGCUGUUUGAGUGGUGUCUAUUGAACCUUAACUUUUGCAAAACUAUGUAAUCUCUACCCUCUUUCUUUCUUUUCUUUUUAUUAUUAUUAUUAUUAUUAUUUUUUUUUUUUAAAUUUCCUUUUCCUUUCUCUUUUUGUUUUGGGUAAACAUAAACUUGUGCUUUAUUCUUCAGAAGAAUCUAUAUUUCAUGUAUGGAUGAAUAUGAAAGAUGGAAAAGAGAUAGAAAGAGGGUCAUCGAAUAAUGGGUUUCUAGGAUCGAAUGUAAUAUGCUCUGAGCUCUAGGCAAAGAUCUUUCAACUUCCUUCGAAGAUCUUCCUUUAUUUUGUUCUUCGUUUUUAUUCCCUUUUUCCAUUCCAUAGCAGCCCAUCUUUUCCAUAUCAUCAGCUUUUGUAAAGUGGAUGCUGACACUAUUUCAUGUUUCUUGCUUAAAGCAAAGAGAAAAGAAUAAGAUCUAUCCAGAGAUCAUUUCAGGUAAAUGAAUGUGUUCUUCUCUCUCAUUGUAUCAUCUUAUUUCAAAACAUAGUUAUUAUAAAUCUGUGUUACAAUGAAUUCCAGCAAUUGGUAUCGGAGUCGAGUUAUGGGAAGCACCUAAGCUGGAAAGGAUCUUUCUUUUCUCCUCAUCUCUUCCUUUCUGUCUUUCUUUGUUUACUCCAUUUGUUUCAGAUGCAACCAUUUUUUGGUUUUGGGUUGAACAUUGGAUGGGUUUCUUAGUUAUUACUCAUAAUUGCUGAUAUUCUCUUAUUUAAUUAUGUGCUCCAACUAUUCAAGAAUGAAGACAUUGAUGAAUGAGAUGAAACCUGCAAAUUUUCUCUUGCUUUAAUGGGAUUUCUAUUUUCUAUCCCAUCUUUCGUCAUUCAAUCAGAACUGAGGGACAGUACACAAAGAAAUAGAAAGGAAUCAAGUUACUGAAAGCAUGGGUAAGAGAGGACACAUGUGGACAACACGUGGGGAUGAUUCAUGCAAAACCAAGAACAUCAAAAUUACUCCACAGCCCAACAGUGACAGUCUAUUACAGACUCUACAGGACAACACAGAACGUCAGAAAGACGCCAUGGAUUCCUCUCUAUCCGGACUGUUAUACAUAAUAAAUAGCCUCUGAUCUUGACGUGGGUUUGGCAAAAACGCUGAGUCAGGUAAAGCUCCAUUUCAAAUUUCAAACCAGUUUUGUUUGCUAGGAAUCUACCAAACAAAACUAAGGCUGGUUUGACUUAAUUAUUCUCUCUCCCCCACCAAAAGUUAGGAGAUUAGACAUGAUUGAAUGAGAACCAAAGAAUUGAAUGAAUUAUUUUAGGUUUUACUUUGAUGAUUCAUAAAGUUGAUAAUUUUGGUGGGUGAAUAUUGGAAAUGGUGCAGUCACACAGGAGAAACUGCUUUAGCCUAUUGGGAAAAUUGGAUCUUUUUUGACUUUGUUCACAUAAAGUGGAAAUCUUGUUGGUUUGCCAUUGUUUUCACCUUGGUUUUAGAGACUGGCAGUGGCAUUGGAUGGUGUUGAUUGGUUGUGUAAGGACUCAAUUUGGUCUUAUUUGAUGUCUUCUUCCUCUAAAGAUGCAUUAUGGCCACAACUUUUUCCAUGAAUAAUUGAUCCCUUUUGGGGUCACAUGUGUCUCUAAUCGCCUGCACUGUGCACCGUGUAGUGUGUACUACUCUACUUGAUCCAGGAAGUCGUCAAGUUCAAGUACCCCCUGGGCUAAUGGCGUUUCCCUAAACCCUAAGAAGCCUCUUUCCCCUAGAGAGUAGAGUCUUUCUUGAAGUAUGGAAGGACGGAAAGGUAGUCUUUCAUAAGUCAAGAAGACAUUGGAAAGUGGUGACUUUCGUAAAGUAAUUGUUGAAACUUGAAAGUCUGUGAUUCCCACGGUGAUGGUGAUGAGACAUCUAAGAAUGUAAGACUGUAUACUAACAUGUCCUUAAUAGCCAUCUAAACCCUAAGCUUAGGUUUUACUUCUAACUUCUAAGAUUUGGAAAUGUUCAGUUUCAGGGUUUGAGUUUUCUAAGAAUGUAGCACUGUAUACAACCUUUGGCAGCUUCUUCUGCUGCCGUUUUACCUAA